rnacentral:rRNA from 1 species
GAUGAACGCUGGCGGCGUGCCUAAUACAUGCAAGUCGAGCGAACAGACGAGGAGCUUGCUCCUCUGACGUUAGCGGCGGACGGGUGAGUAACACGUGGAUAACCUACCUAUAAGACUGGGAUAACUUCGGGAAACCGGAGCUAAUACCGGAUAAUAUAUUGAACCGCAUGGUUCAAUAGUGAAAGACGGUUUUGCUGUCACUUAUAGAUGGAUCCGCGCCGCAUUAGCUAGUUGGUAAGGUAACGGCUUACCAAGGCGACGAUGCGUAGCCGACCUGAGAGGGUGAUCGGCCACACUGGAACUGAGACACGGUCCAGACUCCUACGGGAGGCAGCAGUAGGGAAUCUUCCGCAAUGGGCGAAAGCCUGACGGAGCAACGCCGCGUGAGUGAUGAAGGUCUUCGGAUCGUAAAACUCUGUCAUUAGGGAAGAACAAAUGUGUAAGUAACGAUGCACGUCUUGACGGGACCUAAGCAGAAAGCCACGGCUAACUACGU